AUUGAACGCUGGCGGCAGGCCUAACACAUGCAAGUCGAGCGGAUGAAGGGAGCUUGCUCCUGGAUUCAGCGGCGGACGGGUGAGUAAUGCCUAGGAAUCUGCCUGGUAGUGGGGGAUAACGUCCGGAAACGGGCGCUAAUACCGCAUACGUCCUGAGGGAGAAAGUGGGGGAUCUUCGGACCUCACGCUAUCAGAUGAGCCUAGGUCGGAUUAGCUAGUUGGUGGGGUAAAGGCCUACCAAGGCGACGAUCCGUAACUGGUCUGAGAGGAUGAUCAGUCAAACUGGAACUGAGACACGGUCCAGACUCCUACGGGAGGCAGCAGUGGGGAAUAUUGGACAAUGGGCGAAAGCCUGAUCCAGCCAUGCCGCGUGUGGGAAGAAGGUCUUCGGAUUGUAAAGCCCUUUAAGUUGGGAGGAAGGGCAGUAAGUUAAUACCUUGCUGUUUUGACGGUACCAACAGAAUAAGCACCGGCUAACUUCGUG
rnacentral:rRNA from 1 species